GGUUCGAUUAAGCCAUGCGAGUCGAGAGGGUUCAGACCCUCGGCGGACUGCUCAGUAACACGUGGAUAACCUGCCCUAAGGUGGAGCAUAACCCCGGGAAACUGGGGAUAAUACUCCAUAGGUUAGAGAUACUGGAAUGUUCUUUAAUCGAAAGUUCCGGCGCCUUAGGAUGGAUCUGCGGCCGAUUAGGUAGUUGUUGGGGUAACGGCCCAACAAGCCUGUAAUCGGUACGGGUUGUGGGAGCAAGAGCCCGGAGAUGGAAUCUGAGACACGAUUCCAGGCCCUACGGGGCGCAGCAGGCGCGAAAACUUUACAAUGCAGGAAACUGUGAUAAGGGAACCCCGAGUGCCCGUAUACGCGGGCUGUCCGGGUGUAUAAAAAGCAUCUGAAGAAAGGGCCGGGCAAGACCGGUGCCAGCCGCCGCGGUAAUACCGGCGGCUCGAGUGGUGACCACUUUUAUUGGGCUUAAAGCGUACGUAGCUGGACUCUUAAGUCUCUUGGGAAAUCCCGCGGCUCAACCGUGGGGCGUUUAAGAGAUACUGGGAGUCUAGGAACCGGGAGAGGUAAGAGGUACUUCGGGGGUAGAAGUGAAAUUCUGUAAUCCUCGAGGGACCACCGAUGGCGAAGGCAUCUUACCAGAACGGCUUCGACAGUGAGGAACGAAAGCUGGGGGAGCGAACGGGAUUAGAUACCCCGGUAGUCCCAGCCGUAAACGAUGCGCGUUAGGUGUACUGGUGACCACGAGUCACUGGGGUGCCGAAGGGAAACCGUGAAACGUGCCGCCUGGGAAGUACGGUCGCAAGGCUGAAACUUAAAGGAAUUGGCGGGGGAGCACCACAACGGGUGGAGCUGCGGUUUAAUU
rnacentral:rRNA from 1 species